ACAGAGGAGUCAAGCAAUGUGCUUCGUGUAAUGGACUGCAUACUUCUGAUGAAAUGUAGCUCUUUUAAAAUACAUAUAUUAUUAGUGCUCUCCUGGGCUAAAUGUACUUUUAUUGAUGAUAUUAUCCAAACUUGCUUAGUACUCAAAGCUGCAACAAUAAGAAAGAUGCAGACAAUUGAAAACAGAUCCAGAUGUAAAACACUCAAGUACUUCUCCAGCACUGUGUUUGCCAGUGCACCAUCAUGCUUCUCACUGUGAUGAAAAUGGACUACUGCAUCUCUGAAACUGUAAGGAAGACAAUGAAAUGCUUGCUCUUCUAAGAGCUGCUGUGGCUGUGGUGUCUCUUCACAGGAUAGAGCACUAAGACAUUGACUGUUGUCUGUUCUUCUCCAUGAGCAUGCAGUAAUAAACUUUAUCUUCUAAACUUC